CAUCACAGUACAGAAGAGGUGGACAGAGAACCUUCCUAGUUGUACCAUGAUAUUCUAGAUUGUAUGAAAUGUAUGGCACACCUUCAGGAGAGUCACCACAAAACUAUAGGUUGUGCUCUGAAGCACCUGAAGAGAUCUACAGGCAGAGUACACCUUCAGGAGCAAGUGUGACACAAAGUCACAGUUGUAAUGGUGGCUGUUCACAGGGAGGACUGCAGCAGGGAAAGAUAGGCAAACCCACAUACUAACAAGCACUUGUCAUGAUUUGUGAUUCUCACCAGAACUCAAAAGAAGCAGGUGAGAUGUCUGAAUGUAUUACUGCAGAAGAACCAGAAUAUAAGCUUCAUAAUGGCAGAACUUUGAUCAUUAUAUCCCAGAACCAAAAGCAGAGUUGGCCCUGAAUGAGUGCCCAGGAACUCAAGAAUCAGACCAUCAGCUCCUAAACUGAGCCACAGCAGAGGUGAACUCUUCAUGAGCUCACCUCACUAUACUCCAAACAUCAUAACAAUUUAACUGAGCCUUAACUAUAUCCCACAAUGCAACACAUUAAACAACUAGCAGAUCAGAGAUCCUCGAGACCUCAGGCAGUCACUAGGAAUACUCAUCCACAAGAUGUUUUAAUUACAUGAAUUCCAAGAAGCCAACAUACAAUAUUUCUACCCUUGUGUUCUACAGGACGUGUAUGUAUGUUUACUGAGGGUUUGUUCUUACAGAAUCUAAUACGUCAUUCCUGGCUGUUUUCUGAGCAGAAAUACGUGGUCUAUAGUAUAUAUUACUAUUAUAUAAUUGCCUAUGUAACUGCAUUAUACAAGUGGGUCAGACAUCAGCUCUCUGAGCAGCUCCUCAUCUAACUGAGAAGCUAUGAUGAAGGAGACUAUGGAGAAGCCCCUAUCCUGACAGACUGUGUUCAAUUGUGUCACUUUAGGAAGUGCUGCUCUAAGGCACUUUGUUCCACUUUCUAAAGCUAAAAAACAGAAAAGUUAGGUUCUUACAAGUACCCUGGCAACCACUGAAAAUACAGGCUGUAGAAACAUAAA